rfam:Zootermopsis nevadensis contig27435, whole genome shotgun sequence.
GCCACGGUGGUCUAGCGGUUAGAACGCUGGCCCUGUAAUCCUGGGGUCUCGGGUUCGAUUCCCGGCGGUGCCC